rfam:Loxodonta africana unplaced genomic scaffold scaffold_6, whole genome shotgun sequence.
GCAUUGGUGGUUCAGUGGUAGAAUUCUCACUUGCCAUGCGAGAGACCCAGAUUCAAGUCCUGGCCAAUGUA